rnacentral:lncRNA from 1 species
GUUCAUUUUUGUAUUUGUGGAGACUGAAGGUGUUUGAGGGAGGCAGCUGUGCAGGGUUUGGGAAGCCCAGGCAAGAGCCAGUGCCACCACCAGCAAACAUUGCCUGGAGGCCACACCUGCAUCAGGCACUUGGAGCAGCCUGUGUCCCUGUGAUAGUGAAGUACAGUCGGUACUGCAGCGUGACGGGGCCAAGCGAAAUGAACUGAGGUAAAGGGCCACCUUCAUACAAACUGGGCUUCUGGCAGGUAGAGACCCAGGCUGUGAGGAGAGUGAGGCCUAUCCAGCACCCUUUAUGAGAGGAUUCCUGCUGUCAUCCUCUUCACAUAAAUUAGAUAAGUCGUCAUUACAAAACUUAUAUUUGAAAAUAAAUCACCAGGAA